rnacentral:rRNA from 1 species
AACGAACGCUGGCGGCAGGCCUAACACAUGCAAGUCGAGCGCGCCCUUCGGGGUGAGCGGCGGACGGGUGAGUAACGCGUGGGAACGUGCCCUUCUCUGCGGAAUAGCCUCGGGAAACUGAGAGUAAUACCGCAUACGCCCUUUGGGGGAAAGAUUUAUCGGAGAAGGAUCGGCCCGCGUUGGAUUAGGUAGUUGGUGGGGUAAUGGCUCACCAAGCCGACGAUCCAUAGCUGGUUUGAGAGGAUGAUCAGCCACACUGGGACUGAGACACGGCCCAGACUCCUACGGGAGGCAGCAGUGGGGAAUCUUAGACAAUGGGGGCAACCCUGAUCUAGCCAUGCCGCGUGAGUGAUGAAGGCCUUAGGGUUGUAAAGCUCUUUCAGCUGGGAAGAUAAUGACGGUACCAGCAGAAGAAGCCCCGGCUAACUCCGUGCCAGCCGCCGCGGUAAGAC